CACUUUCAGAAUCCUUUUUUUUUAAAAAUUAAAAUUCUAGUUUUUUGGUUUUAUUUGGUUCAUUUGAAUAUAAUCACAAAAAAUACUGAUAGUUGCAAAUAACUGAUGUGGAUUUCUUCAAAUAGAUCGUCAACAGUUUCCUGGCUAAGCUCCAGAGAUCGGCCAACUGGGACAGGAAAAAGAGAGUUCUAGUUUUGUCAUCCUUCUUGGCAGACAAAUGGGAGAAGGGGAGUAAAGGCAUACGUCAAUGGAUCUAUAAAUUGGUGAGGUUCGCAACAUAUGAUAUAAUUUUGCUGCCAGUAUGUACUGCUGCACACUGGUUCCUGAUGGCAAUGGAGCCCAAAAACUGUACAGUCGCUUGUCUAGACUCGUUAAAAUCACCAGAACGAGCCAUGCGAUUUUACAACUACUGGAUUGAAUACAUAGCAGAGCGUGAGAAACAUGUUCCUGAGGGUCUUGUUGAGUGGAACAGUGUGCAAUAUCUCUGCAGCCAGCAGUUGGAUGGGAACAGUUGCGGUAUAUUCACAUGCAUG